UUCUUUUGCAAAAUUUGUGAUUGGUCCUGGCAACAACUGUUACUUUUUGGCUAUACAUGAUUGGUUGCUAAGGCCAUCUGUAAGGCAAAAAGUUCUGGUCUAUGGGAGUAAGCAUAUUUCUUGAAAGAAGGCCAAGAUGAGAACAGUGAGGCACAGUUCAAAAGUUACAUUCAAUCUGGGUAGAGCCAUGGUGUGCCUGUGUAAGCUUCAUUUCCUUAGUGGCCUCCCAGCUCCAUUUUAGAAGCCUUGACAUACGUUACUCCAUUUUGUUAUCACUGUCCAUGUGCCCAAACAGAAAUUUAUACUUUGUUUCUCUUUGCUGGCAUUGUUUUAUCUAGUCUAAUCUCUCACAGAAGCUAUUGUCAUUCAAGGGUUAUUUCUUCUUGUGGGAAUCUUCCCACUUUGCACUGCCCAAAGCUUUGUCUCUUGAAUUUGAAGCAACUGCCACCAUCAAGAUUCUAAGUCUCUUAAGUGGUACAUGGCCUCAGAGCAGCUGAGGUUUCAAUGCUCACAUAAAUCCAAUAGGGAGACAGACAUGACUACUUUGAAAGGAGGAGCAGAUCUGCACCAUAUCCAAAGCCUGUGAGUUUUUUGAAAUCCGCUAGUCGACUUUCCAUCUUAAACACUGUAUGCAAAUAAGGAUAAAGACAGCGACACUUCCCAAGAGAGGUCAGAAGUCAAGAGGAGAGAGAGAAAAAGGGUCAUCUUAAAAAUCAGUGGCAUAUUGGACUGAUUUCAUCUUUCUGUCUCAUCAGAUACUGUCACAUAUUCGUAGACACGGUCAGAGGUGUGACUUGUGACAACUAAUGGCUGUAUCUAAAGAUAGAGAUCUAGGAGCUAGCAAGUCGGAAUUUGGUUGCGUUCUGAAUCUACUCCUAACUUGCUCUGUGAUCCAAGUUAAUUACUGUGAUUCCUCCCAGGCAAAAGAGAAUAUAAAGAGAGAGAAAAGAGAAAAAGAGAGAGAAAUCACAAAGAUUUUGAUGAGUCUUCAUCACGUCCAUGUGUGUAGAGACAAAGGCCAAUCCUCAGAACCACGGGAGGAGCAAGCAGGUCAGACACAAGCCCAGACUUCCCGCGAACACUGAAGAAGUCAACAACCAGCAACUGUGUCCGAGGUGACCUCCUUCAAGACUCCAGAGAGCUGGUUUCCCUGGCAGGCCCAGGCAGGUGCCCAGGAUGUCACCUUCCUCAGGCUUCCUGUGCCACUGCCCUCCAAGAGAAAAAAAAUCCUUUCAAAGAAAAAUUUCAGUCCAUAUAAAUAAAACAUACCAUGCUGGCA
rnacentral:lncRNA from 1 species